rnacentral:rRNA from 1 species
CCUACGGGAGGCAGCAGUAGGGAAUCUUCCGCAAUGGACGAAAGUCUGACGGAGCAACGCCGCGUGAGUGAUGAAGGUUUUCGGAUCGUAAAGCUCUGUUGUUAGGGAAGAACAAGUGCAAGAGUAACUGCUUGCACCUUGACGGUACCUAACCAGAAAGCCACGGCUAACUACGUGCCAGCAGCCGCGGUAA